rnacentral:rRNA from 1 species
GGUGCUCGAGUGGCGAACGGGUGAGUAACACGUGAGUAACCUGCCCUUGACUUUGGGAUAACUCCAGGAAACUGGGGCUAAUACCGGAUAGGAGCUCCUGCUGCAUGGUGGGGGUUGGAAAGUUUCGGCGGUUGGGGAUGGACUCGCGGCUUAUCAGCUUGUUGGUGGGGUAGUGGCUUACCAAGGCUUUGACGGGUAGCCGGCCUGAGAGGGUGACCGGCCACAUUGGGACUGAGAUACGGCCCAG